rnacentral:rRNA from 1 species
GUUUCAGCAGCCGCGGUAAUACGUAGGUGGCAAGCGUUGUCCGGAUUUAUUGGGUUUAAAGGGUGCGUAGGUGGUCUAUUAAGUCAGUGGUGAAAUACGGCAGCUUAACUGUCGAGGUGCCAUUGAUACUGGUAGACUUGAGUACAGACGAGGUAGGCGGAAUUGACGGUGUAGCGGUGAAAUGCUUAGAUAUCGUCAAGAACACCGAUAGCGAAGGCAGCUUACUAGACUGUAACUGACACUGAGGCACGAAAGUGUGGGGAUCAAACAGGAUUAGAUACCCUGGUAGUCC